GACAGAGGCCUCAAGCGUUAGGCGGAAUCACUGGGCUUAAAGCGUGUGUAGGCGGACGCCUAAGUGUCUUGUGAAAUCCCCCGGCUCACCCGGGAACUGCUGGGCAUACUGGGCGUCUUGGGCCAACUAGGGGCAACUGGAACAAGCGGUGGAGCGGUGAAAUGACGUAGAUAUCGCUGGAACGCCGAAGGUGAAAACAGGUUGACU
rnacentral:rRNA from 1 species